rnacentral:lncRNA from 1 species
GCUCCGGGGGCGCCCGGCUGGGCCCAGCUCCGCGGGCGCGCCCCCGUCACCCCCUCCCAGGCCAGUUCAGGGCAGCGCCAAGGGGCCGCGGGCUCAGGCUGAGGCCUCCUCCUGCCUAGGCGUCUGGCGUCCGUUUGUCUGUCCGAGGCCUCAGCGCAGGUAAAGCGCGGGGCUGGGGGGCGCAGAGCUCCAUUGGGCUGGGAACCAGCGCGUCUCGUGCCCUUGGGGGACCCGCCUGCCCGAGCCGCCUGCUAAGCCUCCCGCUCCCCUCCACGCUGGAGCGCGCGGAGCCCGGUCUGCUCGGAACUCCACUCUGCGGGAGCGGAGGCCGGCGCCAGCCCGGGAAGCCGCGCAGGGGGCGGGAGGCCGAGCGCGAGGCCCUUGGCGCCGGGCCUCCGCGGCCAGGCCGGGCAGCUUACGAUUCUUCAUCAACUCGUAAAAUGAGAUCGCCGCGGAGCUCGAGCCUAUUUGGCGUCUCCGGAGACUAGCAAGACCCUCUGAAAGACACCGCGUCCCCAGGGAUAAUCCCCCGUGUCCGGCAAAGCUGCCCCGCUCGAGCGCGAACCCUGGGACCCAGCGCGGGAGGCAGACCAGCAGCUGGCCGCUGGGCUGUGAACGCCAGGACCGAGCGGAAGCUUCCCGCCCGGCCGCGAUCGGUGCCGCGGCUCUCAGGGAAGUGGCUACGCGCGUCCCUCGGGAAAGCAGGUAAUUCGCCUUUUUCU